UGGUGGUUAAGUCCCGCAACGAGCGCAACCCCUAUUGUUAGUUGCCAUCAUUCAGUUGGGCACUCUAGCGAGACUGCCGGUAAUAAACCGGAGGAAGGUGGGAUGACGUCAAAUCAUCAUGCCCCUUAUGACCUGGGCUACACACGUGCUACAAUGGUUGGUACAAAGAGCAGCGACCUCGCGAGAGUGAGCAAAUCUCAAAAACCCAUCCUCAGUUCGGAUUGGAGUCUGCAACUCGACUCCAUGAAGUUGGAAUCGCUAGUAAUCGCGGAUCAGCAUGCCGCGGUGAAUACGUUCCCGGGCCUU
rnacentral:rRNA from 1 species